ACAGAGUUAGGAGGGAGUGACUAGUGACAGAGAGAGGGAUGGGGUGACUAGUGACAGUCACCCCCUCCCUCACUCUGUCACUAGUCACCCCCUCUCUCACUCUGU